AGAGUUUGAUUAUGGCUCAGGAUGAACGCUAGCUACAGGCUUAACACAUGCAAGUCGAGGGUAGCAGGGUAGCAAUACCGCUGACGACCGGCGCACGGGUGAGUAACACGUAUCCAACCUUCCCAUAACUCAGGGAUAGCCUUUCGAAAGAAAGAUUAAUACCUGAUAGUACUUUUUCAAGGCAUCUUGAAAAAAGUUAAAGAUUUAUUGGUUAUGGAUGGGGAUGCGUUCCAUUAGAUAGUUGGUGAGGUAACGGCUCACCAAGUCUUCGAUGGAUAGGGGUUCUGAGAGGAAGGUCCCCCACAUUGGUACUGAGACACGGACCAAACUCCUACGGGAGGCAGCAGUGAGGAAUAUUGGUCAAUGGGCGAGAGCCUGAACCAGCCAAGUGGCGUGAAAAGGAUGAAGGUCCUAUGGAUUGUAAACUUCUUUUAUAGUAGAAUAAAGUGAGCCACGUGUGGUUUUUUGUAUGUAUACUAUGAAUAAGGAUCGGCUAACUCCGUGCCAGCCGCCGC
rnacentral:rRNA from 1 species